rnacentral:tRNA from 1 species
ACCUGGCUGGCUUAGUCUGUAUAGCAUGUGACUCAACCUUUGGGUCAUGGGUUCAAGUCCCAUGUUAGGUG